GACGUAGGGGGCAAGCGUUAUUCGGAAUUAUUGGGCGUAAAGCGCUCGUAGGCGGGACUGGAAGUCCGUGUUGAAAGACCUCGGCUCAACUGAGGGACCGGCUCGGAUACUCUAGUUCUUGAGGCAAUCAGAGGGUGAUGGAAUUCCUGGUGUAGCGGUGAAAUGCGCAGAUAUCAGGAGGAACACCGGUGGCGAAGGCGGGUCUCUGGGCCGUAACUGACGCUGAGGAGCGAAAGCGUGGGGAGCGAACAGG
rnacentral:rRNA from 1 species